CCUCCUCUUGUCUCUGAGACUCAACCGAGAGCAGACAGCAGACAUUGCUCCUCCUCAUCUCUGAAAAUACUAAGAAGACUGCUUCAUGGCAAAUGUCCACUGCGAAGAUAUGCAGAUGAAGAUGGAACAUUUGACCUAUGAUUGGUUCACCUGACAAGAUGUCAGGUCACCUCUGCAUACUACAGAUUGCCAAAUAUUGGUUUUCACCACGUGAUCCUUAAGUUGCAUCAGAUGUCGUGCUGUGGUCAGAUGUACCGGAUGUAAUCGUCUCCUGUGCUGAUCAGGAGAAGAGCAAUUGGAGCAGCAGUGGAACGAAAACACUUGACGUCUGCUUCAUGUGGUCUGUGGUAAGUAAAGCUCGUACUAAACUAUUUGCCGUUUUUGUCCCAACUUAAUCAGGCUGGCUGGUUUGCUUUAUGCCCUGAUUAAAGAAGUAAUGAUGAGUUGAUCUUUUCGCCGUUUACCCAUCA